rnacentral:rRNA from 1 species
ACAGGCUUAACACAUGCAAGUCGAGGGGCAGCACAGGUAGCAAUACCGGGUGGCGACCGGCGCACGGGUGAGUAACGCGUAUGCAACUUACCUAUCAGAGGGGGAUAACCCGGCGAAAGUCGGACUAAUACCGCAUGAAGCAGGGGCCCCGCAUGGGGAUAUUUGCUAAAGAUUCAUCGCUGAUAGAUAGGCAUGCGUUCCAUUAGGCAGUUGGCGGGGUAACGGCCCACCAAACCGACGAUGGAUAGGGGUUCUGAGAGGAAGGUCCCCCACAUUGGUACUGAGACACGGACCAAACUCCUACGGGAGGCAGCAGUGAGGAAUAUUGGUCAAUGGCCGAGAGGCUGAACCAGCCAAGUCGCGUGAGGGAUGAAGGUUCUAUGGAUCGUAAACCUCUUUUAUAAGGGAAUAAAGUGCGGGACGUGUCCCGUUUUGUAUGUACCUUAUGAAUAAGGAUCGGCUAACUCCGUGCCAGCAGCCGCGGUAAUACGGAGGAUCCGAGCGUUAUCCGGAUUUAUUGGGUUUAAAGGGUGCGUAGGCGGCCUUUUAAGUCAGCGGUGAAAGUCUGUGGCUCAACCAUAGAAUUGCCGUUGAAACUGGGGGGCUUGAGUAUGUUUGAGGCAGGCGGAAUGCGUGGUGUAGCGGUGAAAUGCAUAGAUAUCACGCAGAACCCCGAUUGCGAAGGCAGCCUGCCAAGCCAUGACUGACGCUGAUGCACGAAAGCGUGGGGAUCAAACAGGAUUAGAUACCCUGGUAGUCCACGCAGUAAACGAUGAUCACUAGCUGUUUGCGAUACACUGUAAGCGGCACAGCGAAAGCGUUAAGUGAUCCACCUGGGGAGUACGCCGGCAACGGUGAAACUCAAAGGAAUUGACGGGGGCCCGCACAAGCGGAGGAACAUGUGGUUUAAUUCGAUGAUACGCGAGGAACCUUACCCGGGUUUGAACGCAUUCGGACCGAGGUGGAAACACCUUUUCUAGCAAUAGCCGUUUGCGAGGUGCUGCAUGGUUGUCGUCAGCUCGUGCCGUGAGGUGUCGGCUUAAGUGCCAUAACGAGCGCAACCCUUGCCACUAGUUACUAACAGGUAAAGCUGAGGACUCUGGUGGGACUGCCAGCGUAAGCUGCGAGGAAGGCGGGGAUGACGUCAAAUCAGCACGGCCCUUACAUCCGGGGCGACACACGUGUUACAAUGGCGUGGACAAAGGGAGGCCACCUGGUGACAGGGAGCGAAUCCCCAAACCACGUCUCAGUUCGGAUCGGAGUCUGCAACCCGACUCCGUGAAGCUGGAUUCGCUAGUAAUCGCGCAUCAGCCAUGGCGCGGUGAAUACGUUCCCGGGCCUUGUACACACCGCCCGUCAAGCCAUGGGAGCCGGGGGUACCUGAAGUCCGUAACCGAAAGGAUCGGCCUAGGGUAAAACUGGUGACUGGGGCUAAGUCAUAA